rnacentral:lncRNA from 1 species
CCGAGAGACAGCGGAGAUUCAUUACCCGUCGACACAAUGACCAUUGAUGGCCCCGUGGCGUUAUUCAAAUCCAGUACCAAUUGCAGCCGAGCCCCUUUCUCCGCGCCAGGCCCGUAUUGUUGGAGCGGCCCACUAAAAGCCCGCCCCGGCCCCGAGCCGCCAGAGGCGCCCGCUCGGGUUCAGCCCUGCACCUCGCCAGCACGCUGGCUCCUGGUCCGGCUCCCUGGGCGCUGCAGGUGACCCAGCGGCGCAUUCCGGCGCUUCCCGCCGCCCGGGCUACCGCCACCCGCGACUCAGCUACAAGGAAGCAGAGAGCGCCCGAGCUGGGACUCUUGGCCACGGUGGAAGGAAACACGCUGGGGGCGAUGGGGAUGCCGGUGCAGGGCCGGGAUCUGCAUGCCCGCUCGUCCACCUUACCGCGGGAUGGGCUGCGACUGAUGAGCUUCUGCAAGGGUGACCCGUGUCGGCUGGCAGGGUCCUCCAGUUGAUCGCACCGAUUUUCCGUUUUCCAAUUUCAGCUGUAAUGAAGCUGGCACACAGCGGCGGGACCCGAAUGUGGUCGUUGGCCAAAGCCGCAGUUAGUCGGGGGUGAAGGCAGAUGCCAGCAGAAUUCGUUUGCUAACUCGUUUUGAAUUUAUUCCAACCUGUCCCCUAACCAGCACUCCCAAACAACACCCCCCCCCCAAAAAAAAUCCGAAAUCAACCCGUAUAUCCCAAACCAGCCAACCAACCCCUCCCACAAGCUCCUCUGGACGAGUGAUGGGCUGAGCCUCCCACCGCUGCCAGAAACCUGCCAGAAACCGACAAGCUGGGGAAUGAUGCGCUCCAGCCGGGCAACCGCCUAGGCUUUGGAAAUAAGAACUUGGACAAACGAAACCUUUUCAUUAAAGAAAAAUCUUCGAAGGU